UCUCUCAUUCUCUCACACCCGCCUCACUCCUCACAGUCACGCCAGCCUCAGUCCUCACCCGCCGUUUCCAUCUCCAUCGAUCUGGAAAAGAUUGAGAUUGAAAAGCCUUUCUGAACGAACGACCCAUCUCCAUCUUCAUCUCCAUCUCCAUCUCCAUUGUAGUUUCAGCCUUUCUGAAUUUUUAUUUUGGGGAGCGGACGGGACUGUUUCAACUUUCCUCAAUAUCAACGACCCACUCCAUCUCCAUCCUUGAUUCAAUUCAUUUGGCGAUUCCAUGACGUACUAAUAAAUAUCCUAAGGAAGGCAGCAACAAACUACAAGAUUCUGGCCAUUUAAAUUCAGAAAAGGCUUGUUGAAACCAGAAUCGAGUAGGAGCAAACCCAGAGAAAUCUAAGGAUGCUCAACACAGGUAUGACCAAGUUGGAUAACUUGCUUUCACAACAAAACGUUAGUAGUGAUAAUUGGGGCUCGGCCACAAUGGUCAAGAAACCUUAGAAAAGAUCAUUUUUGUGAAGGCAACCACCAGCUCUCUAGCAUAGCAUUCUCAAACGUCACAGGGGGAGACAAGAUUAUAGAAGAUGUUGUACCAUUUUCGUUUCAAAAAAUUGUUGCAACAAAUCUUGCAACAGAUCUAGCAACAGUCGGCGCUGAAGACGUGAAAGGGGGUUCCUAACUUCUUACUGUUUUUUUAAAGAUGAUCAGAUUAGCUUGGGCAGUAUUUUUGCAGGUUCCUAACCGGUUUUUCUACUUUGGUCACUAUUUUCUCAAAAAGGGGGAGUAGUGUUAGUGUUAUUUUGUGUGAUUUUGGAGGAGUUAUUUCUUUUGAUAUUCUGUUGAUUU